rnacentral:pre_miRNA from 1 species
UGUGUGUGUGUGUGUGUGUGUGUGUGUGUGUGUGUGUGUGUGUGCCUUUGGGCACUCUGGGGUAUGCACACACACACGUACACCGACACCCA